rnacentral:lncRNA from 1 species
ACGAUAUACCUGCUCUAGAAUGUCUUGAAGUAGAACAAUUCUCGGAUGUGUCAUUUAAUCACCUCAGGGAAGUUAAGCUAAUACGCACUAAUGGCACAAUCCGUGAGAUGCAGCUUAUGAAGCUUCUGUUAGCCAAGUCUCCAGUGUUGGUGAGAAUGCUAAUCCAACCAUGUCUAGUUGAAGAUUCUGCAAUACUUGCUGAGCUAACAAAUUUUCAGCGUGCUUCACCUAAAGCACAAGUUGUCUAUAAACAUCAAUAAGCAUCCAUAUUUACCUUCCUUUUUUAUCGUCUCGAUUCUUCAAUCGAACCAUGAUCCUUGUGUAAAAUCUUUGGAUGUUGAUUUAAGAUAGAGUGCAGUAGUAUAAAACUAUUAAUGUUGUAGUUUGCCAAAUUGUCAGAAGAUAGGGUGAAGUCUAAAACGUAAAUUAUAAAAGCGAAUGUGGAUGGCUUAACUUUGUUAGAAGCUAAUACGGACUAAUGGCACAAUCCGGGAGAUGCAGCUUAUGAAGCUUCUGUUAGCCAAGUCUCCCGUGCUUGUGAGAAUGCUAAUCCAACCAUGUCUAGUCGAAGAUUCUGCAAUACUUGCUGAGCUAACGAAUUUUCAGCGUGCUUCACCUAAAGCACAAGUUGUCUAUAAACAUCAAUAAGCAUCCAUAUUUAACUUCCUUUUUUAUCGUCUCGAUUCUUCAAUCGAACCAUGAUCCUUGUGUAAAAUCUUUGGAUGUUGAUUUAAGAUAGAAUGCAGCAGUAUAAAACUAUUAACGUUGUAGUUUGCCUAAUUACCAUUAGACAGGGUGAAGUCUAAAACAUAAAUUAUAAAAGCCAAUGUGUAUGGUUUCUUCAGCUUUGUUAUUACGAUGCUUAGUGUUUUUACAUUACAUACCUAUGCUUGAAAUGAAAACUUUCUACAAGGAAUUUAGUGCUUAUUUCAAACU